UGCUUUAAAAGUGACUCUGAAAAAUCAAUUUUAAAACCUACAGGAAAGCAGCAGAGGGAAGCCAGAACCGAGGUGCUGUGAUGCCAUCUGCUAAAACCAGUAAGAAGAUGAGCUGCUGGUUUCUGGACCAGUUGGCAGGACCUUCUAAUUCAAUCAAAACCCUGUAAUCAUUUCCAAAUGAUUUUUAAAUGUCUCUUUUAUGUUGUAGUAUAACUACAAUAUUAACCACCACAUAAAUGUCUGUUCGGACACUCUUCUUUCUCAUCUGUUGAACUCUGUCUCCUCAUUUCUGUCCAUCCUCAGCUCUCCAACACCUACCCUGGCCUCACUCUGGGAAAGUUUAUGAAGUGUGAGGCGAUUUAUUCAAAGAGUGGAAGGCCUGAGAAUCCGUUUAUGGAGUCACUUUAUGGACGAGCACAAGACUCAGGAGGGCAGUAAGAUGACGUCAGCUGCACAGGAUGAUGGGGCGGCUUCUUCAGACCUGGAGGUGCAGUGGAGGGUCUCCACAUCCAGUAAGCGACCCUCACAUGUGGCCCACCAUCUUUUCCUGAGAGUACGCUUCAGAGGAAGGCCCCUGUGGGACGAUGGCUUAUCUGCAGGCCUUGGCUAACGAAUGAUGAAAAACAGGCACCAUCACGGCCACCAAUCUGCUCCAGUGCUCCUGGCCUGGGUACAGAUGCCAAGGCAUCUGCCACAAAUAAAAGACCCAGGCAGACUGACGCCCGUAGGCCAAACAACCAGAGGCUGGUAAUAGCGCGUCCCUGAUGGGCUUACGGAUCCAUCCUCUGCAGACAGAAACAGAGUUAGUUGAUUGUGGCGUGACCACAUUAGUAAAUGACAUAAGAGGACAUGAGGACAUCAUUCAAAACUGUUUUGUUUUGACAAAUGCUUGAAUAAUUCGUCAUGUUUCACUCAUGUUAAGGUAAAAGUGCACUCCAUUGUUAAUGUUCGUUUACAGAUUGCAGGUGGAGCAUCAUACGAACACUUUCAGUCAGAUAGAACAAACACAUUCAUAGUGACAUUUCAGUCAAUUGUAAAUAUACUUGUAUGUAUUUUGGGUUUCUGUUCUUCCACCUCCUGUUUCAUUUUGCAAUCCCAGCUUCUCAUUCAUUCCUUUACUUCCCCUGUUUGUUCCCUCUGGUUUUCUGCAACACCACUAGCAAUAAGACAACCCCUCACCCCAGCAUUUACACUCCCCCGCUUCUCUUUGUGCGUUUGCUGGAUUGCUUUGUUUUUUUCCCUUGCAGUUCCUACACUGUAUGCCUCCUGAUUUCUUUUGAUUCCAGUUCAGCUGUUUUCUUACUCUCCACGUCUCUAUCGACUCUCCUCCCGUUUGACCUUUUUGAUUGUUCUUUAAACUUUGCCCUUUGCCUGGAGCUUGCUAAUGCUGUUCGCUGAGAUGAGUGGAAACCUGUACAUGACUCCAAACGUGCCAGUUAAGGUUAAGAUUUUGGACUAUGAAGUUUACUGCCAUGCAUUUGAUUUCUGUGAACCGUUACAGACAGAGCUAACUAGU